rnacentral:rRNA from 1 species
AUUGAACGCUGGCGGCAUGCUUUACACAUGCAAGUCGAACGGUAACAGGCCGCAAGGUGCUGACGAGUGGCGAACGGGUGAGUAAUGCAUCGGAACGUGCCCAGUCGCGGGGGAUAACGCAGCGAAAGCUGUGCUAAUACCGCAUACGAUCUAUGGAUGAAAGCGGGGUACCGUAAGGCCUCGCGCGAUUGGAGCGGCCCAUGUCAGAUUAGGUAGUUGGUGGGGUAAAGGCUCACCAAGCCAACGAUCUGUAGCUGGUCUGAGAGGACGACCAGCCACACUGGGACUGAGACACGGCCCAGACUCCUACGGGAGGCAGCAGUGGGGAAUUUUGGACAAUGGGCGCAAGCCUGAUCCAGCAAUGCCGCGUGCAGGAAGAAGGCCUUCGGGUUGUAAACUGCUUUUGUACGGAACGAAACGGCGAGCUCUAAUACAGUUUGCUAAUGACGGUACCCUAAGAAUAAGCACCGGCUAACUACGUGCCAGCAGCCGCGGUAA